CCUGAGGUGUAUCCCUUAGAAAUAAGCUGGUAAAUCAUGAGUUCUUCUGUUUCUUCUGCGUGGGUUGACCAUGGGCAUCAGGCAUCAGAGAUACAACUCUGGAUCUUGUCCAUCCAUUGCUGGGCACUCUGUCCAUCCUGGGCGCAGAAGUUAUACACACGUUUGCUGGUCUUGAGCUACAAAACCAAAUGACAGUGAACCAGAGAUGAAGGGCAGGGCUGUUUUAUGGAUUUGGGAGUCUACUGCUAAGAUUUCAGCAUGUCCUGUGGCUGAGUUAAUCAGAGUUAUGACAGGAAGGUACCGGGCACACCAUCGCAAUGCUCCAUCAAUGCUAGUAUGUUGUGUUCUUUCCUUCAUAUCAAGUCAACUCAAGCUUGCUCUACUUACCUGGUGUACACAGUCUAAGAACUGUAAGAAGACUGGAGCAAAACCACUCCCCUGACAGUUGAGGGUCAAGCUGCUCCUCUGACUGAAUUUGUGACCAAAAGAGAGCCACUCUUUUUCAACCAACAUCUGGAAGCCUUCAAGUGUCCUAUAAAAGGGAUCACUGAGUAACUGAACCAGGGAUGUCACCUAGGGCAUAAGCAGGAUGGAUUGUCAUUAAUUUUAGUUCUGAAAAAGGCCUAUUACUAAGAUAAAAGCACUUCCUUCUGAUGAUAGCUAAUUCACAAAUUUACCUGGACAGCAAAUUUGUUCACUAACCAUUCCAGGAUGGCCAAUAAAAUUAAUUUUGUAAACUUGCCAGUAAAAACUAAAGCUCAAAUUCA
ensembl:lncRNA SBF2-AS1 SBF2 antisense RNA 1